rnacentral:lncRNA from 1 species
ACGGGAGGCGACCGUGCUCGCCGUUGGCAGGCUAGGGUUGGCGGCGGCGUAUUCUGUUUGUUUUAAACGAAGGAGCGGAGGGAGGGGCCGCGCCGCGGAGCGUGCCUAAGGUGAAAGGGCUGCCGUGCAGCCAGGCAGAGGCGAGGAAGGCUUCUCCAUCGUCGCCACCGCCCGCCUGUUUCGCCGGCAACAGGUUCCCCCGGGACGGGAGGGGCCGCAGCGCCGCGCAGCUCGCAGCGCUGAACGUCGCGGAAAUCCCUUGGCCGGCCGAGCCUCCGCAGCCGCGACCCGGCUUCUCUCCGUCCGAGUCCCCCGAGCCUCUCCGAACCCCCGUUGGACUUCCCCUCCCUGGCCGGCGCCGCCCGACCCGCUCCCCCAUCCUAGAGGGAAUUCCCUGCGCCGCGGCUGUGAGGCACCUCCACCCCGGCCUGAAAUGCACCGCAGUCCUGAAGGAAAUCCACCCUCAUCCCACGCAGAUUCACCCGCAACGCUGCCUGAAUACGCCUCGCUGCCCACAGAAAUUCCUGCCCAAACCAGACGCGUGGACCACCCAAGACGAAAUUCACACUCGACCCUAGCCCCGCCAGCCCUUGCCGAAAUCACCCUAAACCCGUUGAAAUUAAUUCCCAGCUGUCCGAAUUUUCCUUCCAACAUUAACUGACUACCUGUCUCCGCCAAGCUGACUGAACUCUACCGAACUCUUACCCUGAAAGCCCCUGAGAGUCCAAAAUAUAUUUUUCCAGCCCGAAAUCUAAAUCCCAGUUCUCUGUAUGAAAACCUCCAGAAACCCAGACUCUUACUUCCUUCGGCCACGGACUCGUUCGAACAUCGUGGACAUCACCUUCCCACAUUUUUACCGCAGUCUUUGGCUCCGAUUCUUUGUCCCUGCCUCUUGGGCAGCAUCCUAUCCCUGUUUCUUUCCACCUUUGAGGAUUCCUCUACCUCUUUAAAGGCCUGCUUUCUUUGCUUUCUCUUCUCACCUUUGGCAUUGGCACACUGGGGUCAUAUCUUUAGUUCCCUUGACUCCACCAUCUAAGCCAAGGGUGUCCAAUCUUUUGGCUUCCCUGGGCUACAUUGGAAGGAGAAAAAUUGUCUUGGACCACAUAUAAAAUAUUCUAACGCUAAUGGUAGCUGAUGAAACUUUUAAAAAAUCUCAUCAUGUUUUAAGAAGUUUACGAAUUUGUGCUGAGCCGCAUUCAAAGCCGUCCUGGGCCUAAGUCCUUGCUAUUUUUCCUCUUCAAUUUCCUUCAAUCCAUAGUUCUCUAGGUUAUUUUCCCACCCUUUCCCAAGAUUCGGAUAUCCCUUCAUUCUUGCUGAGUUCAUCUCCUAUGCCUAUUCCUACAUACUUGCUGAGUUCAUCUUCUAAUGUCCUCAUCCUGGUUUCUUCCUGAACCUGAAAUCCAGCUAACCUUACUUUUUCAUCCCAUCAAACCCCUGCUGUUGCCAGCCCAGCACUCACGAAGAUCUUUACAUACACCAAAUAUUAAAUUAGGGCCGGUACCUAGACAUUGUCUCUGCACUCUGCUGGCAUAUUUUCCCCUGGACCACGAACCCUUCGUACCUAGUAACUUGCCACCUGUGUUUAUAAAUACCAGCAAUUUGAUUUACAGGGUGAAUUUGUCACUAUUGUUUACUUUUAAAUGAAGUUACUGUAUUUGUUGUUUCCAUUAAAGGCGACAUUAUAAAGCCUAGGCCUCAUAUCCAAAGCAAAUAAAGUCUCAAUUUUUUAAUUAAAAGUAACAAAAGGAAACCUCACACUUCUGAACAACAAUGACAAGAAGGAAUGCCUAUAAUUGGUUUGGGUCACAAUGUACAUAUUGAAAUAAAAUUUUUAUUAAGUAUCAACUUCCAGGUACACAAUGAAGUUUUAAAUGUUUAUCUGUGACAUAUGAAGAACAAAGCAAUCUAAACUGAUGUAAGCAGGCUGUCAUA